rnacentral:misc_RNA from 1 species
UCUCCGUUGGUGAACCAGCGGAGGGAUCAUUACCGAGUGCAAACUCAUAACCCUUUGUGAACUUAUAUCUGUUGCUUCGGCGGCUCGCUCUCGGGCGAGCCCGCCGGUAAUAUCAGUAUCUCUGUUUGAACCCGACGAUACUUCUGAGUGUUCUUAGCGAACAGUUAAAACUUUUAACAACGGAUCUCUUGGCUCUA